CCCACUGGCCCUAGUCAACCAGUCCUCAACCCCUCUCCUACUACAGGAGAGGACMUGACUCACUGCUGUACACCAAUGAAGCACUCGAUCGCCUCCUCACAAAGGGAACUGUUCUUGUAAAUCUAGAGCCUUACCCAGCCUUUGACACCCGACCUUAGAGAGUGUGGAGAGAUGCCUGCAAAGGUGCUUCGUACGAACUGAUCCCCAAAGGACUUUUCUGGAAAAAAUCCUCUUUACGACUUUAAGAAUGGAAGUAUCAACCUUUGAUUUGUAUUUUAUGGUGUGUUCUGUAUAUUGUGCUGUGACUUUUUGAUUCUUUAAUACUUAUAUAUGAUCUUGCCAAGGCAUGGUACUAGUUACCCUAGCCCAUUCGGUGUUGGGUUAAAUGCAGAAGACACAUUUCAGUUGAAAGCAUUCAGUUGUACAACUGACUAGGUAUCCCCCUUUCCAUUCAUAGACGCUAACUAACUUUAGCGCCUAUUGACUAUACUAACUUCUAGCCAGAGGAGCCCGGAUGCUUGCUCUAAACAUAAACAAGCAUCGCUUGCGGUACGGUGUUGGAAACAUAGGAACGUAUCUUUCAUAUCAGCUAGGAAUAAAUGUUAAAUUACUACACUUUUUUAAUAGGGUAAGGGUUCCCAAACGGUCAUAUUUCCGUUUUACCGCGUUUGUUUACGGAAGACAGACGCGACUACCUGCUAAUUCGCUUUCUGCGACUAGCAACACCUGCGUGUACACGGAAGAUAGACGCCACAAACGUGUCACUUUAAAAUAACCGGUUAACUGCAUUACGUGUAUAUUUAGCAUUUGUGAAAUUAUUUUGAUGUGGUAUGAAAGUAGAGGGCUUUAUGUUUCUAGAACCGUACCGCAGUGAAUAAUCGAUUCAUACUGGUUCGCCUGCCGGAGCCAAUUCGCCUCUAAACAGUAACGUUAGGCUCCUUUUUAUUGAACAAUAGCUACCCCAUAUGUUAAUAUGUAUGUUACACGUAAUGUGGMCUUCCUUUGAUUCCAUGUGUCCCUCAUUGGGUGUUUGUGAUUGCUUUCAUUCAUUGUCCUUAGAAAUUAUAGAUAUUAAACCAUCAAUAAAUCCACCUAUUGAUUUACAA